rnacentral:lncRNA from 1 species
GUUCUGAUGGGGUGUUCACUGCACAGACUCUCCAGAGAAAUGAUCAGGGAAAAAAGGUUUGCCAAAAAAAAUUAAAUCAUUCUUAACUAAAUCCCAGUUAAACUCGGGAAAAGCAAUACUUUAUUAUUUUCAGUGUUUCUGUAAACACGGCCAGUAUUAAACUAUCGAGUUCCUCAGAACUGGGAAGAGGACAAAUGCUGACUAAAGGCAGCGUUUGAAAGGGUCUUUUUACAUUGGAUAUAGAUCUCAGCCACUGCAUAGGAUCAGUGCUGGGGUUAACUGUGGAGCAGACCCAGGAGCCAGUACGAGUUGAAAAAUACUGACAGAGAGCAGUGGACCAUAAUGGACUGUCUGCCUGUUUUGUUUGUUUGCUGCUUGCACAUUGGGUUAAAGGUAAAGGGGCACUGGAGUCACGGUGAUUUCCUGAAGGAGGAGGAAGAUGGAUCCUUCCUGUGGAAACAUCUGGGCACAGCUGGAGAGCAACAGUUCCAGCAACUGGAGCACGGGGGAGAGGAGCAGGGAAUCUCAGGCAGAGACGGUCAAGAGGGGCAGGGAACAUCCACGGGUACAAAGAGAAGAUCAAGAGCCAAGAUGUCCACAGCCAGAGAUAAAAUCGUGGGACACAAAGUUCAGGUGUAAUGAAGGAGAUUUUCAGUUUAAAGUGUUACAUCUGUAGGACAAAAAAAAAAACUCAUGAAGAGGAAGACUGUGUGUUCCUUCCUCUGGCCAUGAGACAGCUGUGUGAAAGUGAUCUCAGCACUACAGAUGCAUAACACAGUGAAAUGAGAAAACCAGUAUCUGCUCACAUGAAACUGAAAGCCUUUUAUUGUGUUCAGAAGACAACAAACACAAGCAUCUUUUACCUUAACUUGUCAGUUCAAACAAGUUUCCCAGCUGACAUAUUCUGCUUGUUUUGCAUCUGGCUAAGAGAGUCUGUAUGACUUAUUCUGUGUAUGGGAAAUACUGGUUUUCAGUCCAAAAUACUUUCUCAGCUCCAUGUUUUUUUGAAUACAAAAACAUCUAUGCAAGUCCCAGAAGUAUAACUUUCCCAGAAAAAUACUUGAACUGUCCAGUUUCACACUGGCAUUAUUACAUCC